rnacentral:rRNA from 1 species
ACCUAGCGUAGUUCGGAAUUACUGGGCUUAAAGAGUUCGUAGGUGGUUAAAAAAGUUGGUGGUGAAAUCCCAGAGCUUAACUCUGGAACUGCCAUCAAAACUUUUUAGCUAGAGUAUGAUAGAGGAAAGCAGAAUUUCUAGUGUAGAGGUGAAAUUCGUAGAUAUUAGAAAGAAUACCAAUUGCGAAGGCAGCUUUCUGGAUCAUUACUGACACUGAGGAACGAAAGCAUGGGUAGCGAAGAGGAUUAGAUACCCUCGUAGCCCAUGCCGUAAACGAUGUGUGUUAGACGUUGGAAAUUUAUUUUCAGUGUCGCAGCGAAAGCGAUAAACACACCGCCUGGGGAGUACGACCGCAAGGUUAAAACUCAAAUGAAUUGACGGGGACCCGCACAAGUAGUGGAGCAUGUGGUUUAAUUCGAAGAUACGCGCAGAACCUUACCAACACUUGACAUGUUCGUCGCGACUCUAAGAGAUUAGAGUUUUCGGUUCGGCCGGACGAAACACAGGUGCUGCAUGGCUGUCGUCAGCUCGUGUCGUGAGAUGUUGGGUUAAGUCCCGCAACGAGCGCAACCCUCACUUUUAGUUGCCAUCAUUAAGUUGGGCACUCUGAAAGAACUGCCAGUGAUAAGCUGGAGGAAGGUGGGGAUGACGUCAAGUCCUCAUGGCCCUUACGUGUUGGGCUACACACGUGCUACAAUGGCAUCUACAACAGGAAGCAAAACGGCAACGUUAAGCAAAUCCCGAAAAGAUGCCUCAGUUCGGAUUGCACUCUGCAACUCGAGUGCAUGAAGCUGGAAUUACUAGUAAU